CAGCGGCGCGUGGGCAGGACGAAUCGUUGAGGCUGCAGGUAAGGGGGCGCUCGAAGUACCUCAGUGAGAAAACUCUGUUUCAACACGUGAAAGGAAUUUCUGGAGAAGCUGUACCACAGUUACCGUUAGGGAUUAAGAGAUGAUCCAAGGAAAUUUCUGCCAGUGCCUGUGUUUACAUAAGAAGGAUCAGUGAUAUCUGUGCCCACGUGGAAGUCAGCAUUAACACAUUGAAUGCCAUUAACAUUGGAAGUGCUUGUAUCAACACCAAAAGGUCUCUCUGUCACUUUUAUACAUUGAAUUUUGCCACAUCCAGCAUUACUGAAAGGAGGAAGAAAACAGUAACUUUUCAAGUUAAAAAUAAUGAUUUUUUGCAUUUAAUUGUUUUAUAAGCAGUACUGUACCUUAGUGUACAUUUCUUGAAUCGCUGAUUUUGGAAUCCACAGUUCCCAAAUCUGUCCCCUUGUAGAUUUGCAUGUUCAAAACACACAUCUGGUGCACGCAGUGAAGCUGUUAAUAUAUAACAAAAACAAUGUGACAAAUUUGACCGUGAAUAAUAUUUCUUGCAAUCUAAUUAUUGCAGCCAGCAUUAAGUACUUUAAUAUCACUUAAACAGUUGAAAAUCUUAUUGAAAAGUUAGAUGUUUCGUGUAAACAAUGGCAGGCAAAUACAGCAAGUCAAAAUCUAACCAUUUUAGAUGGAUCUGUGGGAUUUUCUUUGUUUGUCCUUGCGAUUUAAGUGAUGCUGGUAUUUAUUGGCCUCAGAAGGUUAGUAUUGAGCCUUACCUCCAGGGAUACUGCAGCCCCAAGACUUUAGGUUAUAAUGGCAUUUUUUUUCUGAUAUUUAAUUUUAUUUGAAAUUUAUAAAAGAUUUAUAUUUCCAAUGAAUGUUAGUGAUAACUGUCAUACUUACUAGAGCCAAAGAGUGCCUUGCAUUGUGCAUCAUAGGUCUGACACAAACCAUCAUAGCAGUAUGUCAUACCAUUUGCACAUGGAUAACCAUUUUGGAGAAAAACAUCAGGCUGGCACAAGUGUGAGGAGCCAUUACAGUAUUCUGGAAGAUCACAAACAUUCGCUGCUCCUCUGCACAAAGUCCCUGCAACACGGAACUAUAUAGAAUAAUAAGUCUGACAAUUAAACAAUAAUAACAUUGUUUGUUGAAAGUUUUACAAAAAUGGAUAUUUCUAUUUAUGAGCUUUCAAAACUUUAUUUGUGCUUAAUGAAAAGAAAUCUAUUC